rnacentral:lncRNA from 1 species
AAAAAAGCACGGGUCCAAUAACAAGUUUUACGGGUUCCAGCAAAAUCGAACUAUAAUGGUUGGAGAAUAAUCCCCAACCAAGACCCAGUAGGCACAGCUCGAACAAACACAAUAAUGGAUAAUUCAGCUGGGAAUCAGUAACCCAAACUGAUUUUCUAUUAAUUGAACUGAAAUUACACAAUUGAUAGGAAAGAAAAACAGAAAGAAUAAUGGAAUAGAGAAGAAGAAGGAAGUCACGGAGGGAAGGUUUCACAAAACUCACUACAUGCCAUUUCCUUUCUCUCCAUUCCGUUAUAACAGACCCAACUGAGAAAUGUUUUUCACAAAAGUCAAUACAAGAAAACGUAUGUUUAUUACAUUCAAAUUAAAAUUGCAGAAUCAAAAUGAUGUCGUCUCUUUCUUUCAAAAAUUCGGUAAUUGGAUGACCUUCUUCUUGAUACUUCUCGUGCCCUUUUUCCCCAAUUGAGCUGCUCAUUUCCUUCAUAACAUCCCUUCCUCUCAAAACACACCUUGUCCCCAUGGUUGAAACGAUGGGAAAGAUGCUUGUACAUCUUCGGUGUUUACCCAAGUUGUCCCGUCUACAUUGGUUCCUUGCUGUUGAACCAGCCACUGAGUCACGGCUACUAUCUUCUGUUUGAUUAUUCACGUAGACAGCACUCUUAAGGGUUGAGCUUGUUCCUUUUGGCCCUGGUAUUGAUUUGGUAGUUCACGUAUAGGGACCUCUUCCUUCCCUAUUUUUUUCUUGAGUAAGGAGACAUAAAAAACUGGGUGAAGCGAGGCAGUAGCAGGGAGGUCCAGUUUGUAAGCUACAGGUCCAAUUUUCUGCUUGAUCUAGUAUGGUCCAUAAUAUUUAGCAGACAGUUUGUUGUUGGUCCUCCUAGCCACUGAUUGUUGUGCAUAAGGAUGCAACUUCAGGUAGACCCAUUCAUCCUCCUGAAAUUCCUUCUCACUCCCGUGUUUAUCAGCAUAAUGUUUCAUCCUAGCUUUGGCUUGAGCGAGAUUUUCCCUCAACAGUUGGUCCAUCCUGUGCCUUUCCUAUAGCAUUUCCUCAACUACAGCAACGUUUCUUUGCUCGUAAGGUCCCAAGGCUCCAACUGGGGUGGUUUAAGACCAUACAAUACUUCAAAUGGGGUCAUCUUGAUGGCUGUGUACAGGGUAGUAUUGUACCACCAUUCUGCUAGACUAACCCAUUUACUCCACUGUUUAGGCUGCCUAAAAAACAUGCAUCGAAGGUACAUUUCGAGACACUGAUCAACCUUUCUGUUUGGCCAUUCGUUUGGGAGUGGUAGGCUGUACUCAACUGUAGUUUAACACCCCAAAAGUCAGAACAGUUCUUGCCAAAACUGGCUGGUAAAUAUCUUGUCCCUGUCUGUCACAAUGCUCUGUCGCAUGCCAUGGAGCUUGUAAAUGCGAUCCAAAAAUAGUUUAGCAAUAGAUGAGGCUAAGAAUGGAUGGCUGAGUGUGAUGAAAUAAGCAUACUUAGUAAAUCUAUCAACCACCACCAAUGUCACAUUCUUAGCACUGGAUGUGGGCAGUCCCUUAAUGAAGUCCAUGGAAAUAUGGCUCCAUGCAUACUGUGGCUCUGGUAAUGGUUGUAAGAGACCUGGAUAGGCCACAUGUUCAUUCUUACACCUCUGGCAAGUGUCACAUUCGAGUACUUCCUAUCGUAUCUCCUUAUUCAUCCCUAGCCAGAAGAAGAAUUGUUUUACCCUGUGGAUACUAGCCUGAACCCCUAAAUGCCCUCCUUCUUGAGAAGAAUGAAUGGCAGCAAUCAACUUUUUUCUCACUCCUUUGGAAGAUCCAAUGUAUAACUUUGAUUUGUACUUGAGCAACCCAUUCAAGUACUGAUAGUCUAGGUCUGUUUGGCUAUUAAGUAGCAAGGUACUGAUUAUGUCCUGAGCCACUUUAUCCCCUUCGUAGCUGGCCACUACUUCCUCUAUCCACCUAGGUGUUAUUGCAAUGAUGGCUUGGCAUUCUACUCCCUUUCUUGAUAAGACAUCUGCCACUGCAUUUUCUGUGCCCCUCUUGUACCGGAUAUCAUAGCUUAAUCCCAAUAACUUAGGCAGCAACUUCUGUUGCAAAUGGGUCGUGAUUCUUGCUCCAAAAGGUAUUUAAGAGACUGAUGGUCAGUCAUGAUGAUGAAAUGAUGACCCACUAAAUAAUGUCUCCACUUUCCAACUGUAGUUACCGGUGCCAGUAGUUCUUUUUCAUAAAUGGAUAGCCCUAAGUUCAGGCCACAGAUCCCUUUGCUUAAAUAUGCUAUAGGCCUUCCAUCUUGCAUUAACACAGCCCCUAACCCUCCAUAGCUCGCAUCAGUCUCUAUGAUAAAGGGUCUAGAAAAAUCAGGUAGGGUAAGCACUGGUGUAGUGCUCAUGGCUUUCUUCAGUUCUUGGAAUGCCAGCUCCGCCUGUUCAUUCCAAUGGAAGUUAUCCUUCUUGAGUAAUUCGGUUAGUGGCCUUGCAAUGGCACCAUAUCCCCUCACAAAUUUUCUGUAAUAUCCUGUUAAGCCAAGGAAUCCCCUAAGCUGCUUAACAUUUGUUGGAGUGGGCUAUCCUUGCAUUGCUGUAAUCUUGGAGGGGUCUACUGAUACUCCUUCAGCUGAGAUAAUAUGGCCCAAGUAUUCUACUCUCGACUGUCCAAAGGAGCAUUUACUCUCCUUUGUAAAAAGUUGGUGAUUCCUGAGAAUUUCUAACACCACCUUCACAUGCUCAUAGUGAGAUUCCAAAUCAUUACUAUACACCAAAAUGUCAUCAAAGAAUACCAAGAUAAACUUCCUAAGGUAUUGCUUGAAGAUCUCGUUCAUCGGACAUUGAAAGGAGGCUGGGGCAUUGGUUAACCCAAACGGCAUCACCCUAAAUUCGUACAGACCUUCAUGAGUCUUGAAGGCUGUUUUAUGAGUAUCUUUUGCAGCCAUCCUAAUCUGUUGGUAACCAGCCCUCAAGUCAAUUUUGGUAAACCAUUUAACUCCUUUCAAUUCGUCCAGUAAUUCACCUAUUAGUGGCAUAGGAUAUUUAUCCUUAAUGGUGAGAUGGUUGAGUUGUCUGUAGUCCAUACGGAACCGCCACGUACCAUCCUUUUUCUUGACCAGCAGACAGGGAAAGCAAACGGGCUAUUACUGGGUUGGAUGAUGCCAUUCUCCCUUAUCUCUUUAACCAUUCUCUCUAUCUCCGUUUUUUGUAUGUAGGGGCAUCUGUAAGGCCUUACCUUGAAAGGUUGUGCCCCCUCCUCCAGGGAUAUAUGGUGGUCAUUAAAUCUAGGUGGGAGUAGUCCCUUAAGCCCCAUGAAUACCAUUGGAAAUUGUUUCACUACCACCUCCAGUUCUGUUGGAAUUGGUUGGGAUUCUCCAUUAAUGAUGGUAGCAAUUUGUGCCAUUAUCCCAUACGUAAGUUGUUUGCAUCUCCACUUCUCCUCUUUGUCAACUAGUAUUUGAAACUCCUUUCAAAUAGUCUCAUCCUGAAGUUCCAUUUUAGUUCCCUUAUAGGUAAAAGUAAUGCUCCCUCUUAUGAAAUCGAAUAAGACUGGGCUAAAUUGACUUAGCUAGUCUACACCUAGUACCAUAUCAUUCCCCAUAGUUUGAGAACCCUUAAUUGAAACUAGAACUCCAGGUCCUGCAUCUUCCAAGUUAAUGGGUCACAAAUAGCCCUGCUCACUAGUUUCCCUUCUCCAGCUACAGUUACUGAAGUGGGAUGGGCCACAUGCAGGCUGCAACUGAUGCUAUUGACCAAUUGUUCAUCAAUGAAGCUAUAUGUGCUUCCACUAUCUAUCAAGAUAGACACCCUCUUCCCCUUGAUUACUCUAGGUAACCAUAUGGUUUUGCCCUUGUUGCUGCCCAUCAAUGCAUAAGGAGAUAUCCAUCAGUUUAUCCACACCCCCUUUCUCUACUAGUUCUCCAUCAUUUCCCGGUGGUUCUUCUCCUAACUCCUCCUUCUCUUCAUCCACCAAUGUGAAAUUGAGCAUCCCAUUUUUGCAAACAUGACCUCUAAUGUACUUCUCAUCACACUUGUAACACAAUCCAAACUCUCGUUUGGCCUGAAAAUCAGAAGGUGUAAUGACUUUGAAUUUAAGUGGGUUAGAGGGGUUUUUUGACUUGGUGGUAAGAAGGAGUUUCAAUGUGGGAUCAAUUGGUUUUGGGAAUGGGCUAGACCAUUUGGUUGUUGGGUAAGGUUUGAAGGAUUUGGAGUUUCUGCUGAGGGCUGUAAUGGUGUUCUCUUGUAAAAUGGCAAUUUCAAAGGCUUUGGCAAGUGUGUGGGGUUGAAUAAUUUUAACCAUUGACUUGAUUUCAUCUUUCAGGCCACUAGUAAAGACAAAGAUUUAAUAGGACUCGGGUAAGUGUGGUAAGGAGAUCAUCACCUGGGAUUUCAAUUCUUCAAACUGUUCCUGAUAUUUAAAUAUGGAACCCUUUUGCCUUAGUUUGCUGAAAACCUCUAUUAUCUCCUCUGCUGUGUUUUCUGCGAACCUUCAGCAAAUUUCCUUCGAGAAUAGGUUCCAAUCAGCAUGGGGAUAGUUGGAAAUGAAUCCAUGGAACCAUAUGUCAGCCUUUCCCUUAAGGUACAUUUCAGCAAUUCCCACUUUCAUUUCCUCCUCAACUUGGUGAAUCUGAAAGUACUUCUGUGGCUUUCGCAGCCACUCACGAGGUCCAUCCCCUCCAAAAUAUGGGAAGUCGAUUUUAGGUAAUUUGGAAGGCACCUUGAAUUCCCUGCUUCCACUGGAAUUACUUGAGUGGUAUUCACUCCCAUGUCUGUCAUCUCCACUGACGUGAAAUGGCAUUGCAUUUCCUUCAUUUUUUUUCUCCUUAAGGUAGUUUUACCACCAUUCAUUUAAGCCAGAAUAGUUACAAUAGUCUCAUAUUUUUUGUUCAUCUCACCCAUCAUUUGUUCCAUUCGAUCUUGCCUCCCACAUAACAACUUCAACGUCUGAUCUGUGGAUUUACAAGCUAACCCCAGAUCUGCCACCUCUUUAUCCAAACAUUUCAGGUGUUCCUCAUUCGAUUUGCUCCUUGUUUCAGCCAUCCCAGAUCACGCAGCUGCUCUGAUACCAAAUGUAAUGGUUGGAGGAUGAUCCCCAACCAAGACCCAGCAGGCACAACUUGAACAAACACGAUAAUGGAUAAUUCAGCUGGGAAUUAGUAACCCAAUUUGAUUUUCUAUUAAUUGAACUGAAAUUACACAAUUGAUAGGAACGAAAAACAGAAAGAAGAACGGAAUAGAGAAGAAGAAGGAAGUCAGGGAGGGAAGGUUCACAAAACUCACUACACGCCAUUUCCUUUCUCUCCAUUCUGUCAUAACAGACCCAACUGAGAAACAUGUUUCACAAAAGUCAAUACAAGAAAACGUAUGUUUAUUACAUUCAAAUUAAAAUUGCAAAAUCAAAACGAUGCCGUCUCUUUCUUUCAAAAAAUCGGUAAUUGGAUGGUCUUCUUCCUGAUACUUCUCGCGCCCUUUUUUCCCCAACUGAGCUGCUCAUUUCCUUCAUAACACGAAUUGAUUUUGGCAAAAUUUUCAUCGGUUGGAGGUGGAGAAACGACGUCGCAGGGCAAGAUAGUGGUGUUAGUGGAUAGACUAGAGUAUUCUGCUUUGGAUAUCCUUAUCCAUCACACCCUUAAUGUUUGAUUUUGCCUGUCAUUUGGUAGUGAUGGUGAUGGCGAUGGCGAUGGCGAUGGCGAUAGCGAUAGGCUUUUGGGCAGUGGUGCCGACAGUGUGGGUGGGUAUGGAAAAG